rnacentral:rRNA from 1 species
CCCGGGUCUUGUACACACCGCCCGUCACACCAUGGGAACGGGAUGUACCAGAAGUAGGUAGGCUAACCGCAAGGGGGCCGCUUACCAUGGUGCGUUUCGUGACUGGGGUG